AGAACAAUGCGGGAGUUGCAGAGAGAGGUGUCCUGUGUUUGUUCCCAGUCUUCCUUCAUUCACCUGCACCUGCCCCUGCCCUGCUUUGGCCAACAUGUUCUAUGCAGGCAGCAGAGUUCAUAUCAAGGGCCCAUGUUUUAACUGAAUAUAACGAUUUUUUUUUUUUUCACCUUGGAAGAGUCUUAGAGGCAAGAUUAGAAUGUUAAUCUAAAAGGAGUGCAAAUUUCUUCAACCAUUCCCACAGAGGAAGGUCUACUCUGUGAAAAGGAAAUGAUCAUACAUAAUUCACACAUUUGCUGUACGGAUUUAAUUAAAUGAUAGACAAAAAGUAGAGUGGCACAAGUCAAAAAAUAGUAACAACAAAAACAAUUUCAAAAUAAGCAACAGCAAUAAAUGUUACCUACUAUUUUACGAAUGAAAAUAUUGAGACCAAUAAAGGCAUUAUAGUAUAUGUAGCCUUGGAAUCAGAAGACCAAGAACAUACAAGAGAACAUAGCCUUGGAAUCAGAAGACCAAGAAACAAUUUAACUCUGCCCCUCUAGAGCUCUGAGAACUUGGGCAAGCCUUUUACCCUCUGUGAGUUUCAGUUUCCUCAUUUAUUUAAUUGAAAUAAUAAUAC
rnacentral:lncRNA from 1 species